rnacentral:rRNA from 1 species
CCUACGGGGUGCAGCAGUCGAGAAUCAUUCACAAUGGGGGAAACCCUGAUGGUGCGACGCCGCGUGGGGGAAUGAAGGUCUUCGGAUUGUAAACCCCUGUCAUGUGGGAGCAAAUUAAAAAGAUAGUACCACAAGAGGAAGAGACGGCUAACUCUGUACCAGCAGCCGCGGUAAUACAGAGGUCUCAAGCGUUGUUCGGAAUCACUGGGCGUAAAGCGUGCGUAGGCUGUUUCGUAAGUCGUGUGUGAAAGGCGCGGGCCCAACCCGCGGACGGCACAUGAUACUGCGAGACUAGAGUAAUGGAGGGGGAAGCGGAAUGCUCGGUGUAGCAGUGAAAUGCGUAGAUAUCGAGAGGAACACUCGUGGCGAAGGCGGGUUCCUGGACAUUAACUGACGCUGAGGCACGAAGGCCAGGGGAGCGAAAGGGAUUAGAUACCCUUGUAGUC